rnacentral:piRNA from 1 species
GUUAUAGAUACUUGUUUGCCACCUAUU